GUGCAAAAGUGACCAAAUUUCCAAGCCCUCUGGAUUUGUCAUCUUUUGGCAUUUCCAUAAGUUUUCUGACCCCUAGAGGAAUUGCUGGUGUCUCUUUCUUGACGCUGGCAAACUCCGCUGUCCUGAGCAGAGCUUCCGCAGUUCUGGACGGGACCAGCCAGGCAGCCCUCUCCUCUCCGAGGCACCUGAGACUUCUUCCCCUUUCCAUGGAGAUGUACAGUUUGGAAGGUCAGCCAGGGGUUGAUGUGACGACUCCAGCCAAGGGCUCUGCUCAGUUUCCACCAAGCAGCUCAGAAACAAAGCAGCCAUGACGAGUAUUGCCAAGACUCUGUGCUGGGAGCCAGGAGCAGAUGAAUUCCCGGUGUCAGCAUUCUGUUUGCCUAAACGAAAUUUACUCAGAUGGAUCUUUACUAGGAUGUGGAGCAAUUGGAACCCUCACACAUUGCUGAUGGGAAUGGAAAACAAUUCAGCCUCUUUGGAAAUCAGCCUGGCAGUUCCUCAAAGAAGCUGAACAGAGAGUUACCAUAUGACCCAACAAUUCCACUUCUAGGUGUGUACCUAUGAGAAUUGAAAACAUAUGUUCACAAAACAACGUGUAUACUAAUGUUUAUAGCAGUAUUAUUCAGCAUAGCCCCCAAGUGGAAACACAACUACCCAUCAACUGAUGAAUGGAUAAAUAAAAUGUGAUAUAUGCA